UGCGUAGGCGGCCUGACAAGUCAGAAGUGAAAGGCUACGGCUCAACCGUGGUAAGCUUUUGAAACUGUCAGGCUUGAGUGCAGGAGAGGAGAGCGGAAUUCCUGGUGUAGCGGUGAAAUGCGUAGAUAUCAGGAAGAACACCAGUAGCGAAGGCGGCUCUCUGGACUGAAACUGGCGCUGAGGCACGAAAGCGUGGGGAGCGAACA
rnacentral:rRNA from 1 species